AUUGAAUGCUGGCGGCAUGCCUUACACAUGCAAAUCGAACGGUAACGGGCCUUCGGGUGCCGACGAGUGGCGCACGGGUGAGUAAUACAUCGGAACGUGCCCGAUCGUGGGGGAUAACGAGGCGAAAGCUUUGCUAAUACCGCAUACGAUCUACGGAUGAAAGCAGGGGACCGCAAGGCCUUGCGCGGACGGAGCGGCCGAUGGCAGAUUAGGUAGUUGGUGGGAUAAAAGCUUACCAAGCCGACGAUCUGUAGCUGGUCUGAGAGGAUGAUCAGCCACACUGGGACUGAGACACGGCCCAGACUCCUACGGGAGGCAGCAGUGGGGAAUUUUGGACAAUGGGCGCAAGCCUGAUCCAGCCAUGCCGCGUGCAGGAUGAAGGCCUUCGGGUUGUAAACUGAUUUUGUACGGAACGAAAAGCCUUCUUUUAAUACAGGAGGGUCAUGACGGUACCGUAAGAAUAAGCACCGGCUAACUACGUG
rnacentral:rRNA from 1 species